rnacentral:rRNA from 1 species
UACGUAGGGUGCGAGCGUUGUCCGGAUUUAUUGGGCGUAAAGGGCUCGUAGGUGGUUGAUCGCGUCGGAAGUGUAAUCUUGGGGCUUAACCCUGAGCGUGCUUUCGAUACGGGUUGACUUGAGGAAGGUAGGGGAGAAUGGAAUUCCUGGUGGAGCGGUGGAAUGCGCAGAUAUCAGGAGGAACACCAGUGGCGAAGGCGGUUCUCUGGGCCUUUCCUGACGCUGAGGAGCGAAAGCGUGGGGAGCGAACAGGCUUAGAUACCCUGGUAGUCCACGCUGUAAACGGUGGGUACUAGGUGUGGGGUCCAUUCCACGGGUUCCGCGCCGGUAGCUAACGCUUUAAGUACCCCGCCUGGGGAGUACGGCCGCAAGGCUAAAACUCAAAGGAAUUGACGGGGCCCCGCACAAGCGGCGGAGCAUGCGGAUUAAUUCGAUGCAACGCGUAGAACCUUACCUGGGUUUGACAUGGAUCGGGAGUGCUCAGAGAUGGGUGUGCCUCUUUUGGGGUCGGUUCACAGGUGGUGCAUGGCUGUCGUCAGCUCGUGUCGUGAGAUGUUGGGUUAAGUCCCGCAACGAGCGCAACCCUUGUUCACUGUUGCCAGCACGUUAUGGUGGGGACUCAGUGGAGACCGCCGGGGUCAACUCGGAGGAAGGUGGGGAUGACGUCAAGUCAUCAUGCCCCUUAUGUCCAGGGCUUCACGCAUGCUACAAUGGCUGGUACAGAGAGUGGCGAGCCUGUGAGGGUGAGCGAAUCUCGGAAAGCCGGUCUCAGUUCGGAUUGGGGUCUGCAACUCGACCUCAUGAAGUCGGAGUCGCUAGUAAUCGCAGAUCAGCAACGCUGCGGUGAAUACGUUCCCGGGGCU